rnacentral:sRNA from 1 species
AAGUUUUUUAUCAAUGAGCUAUACACGAGUCACAACAUCAUCAAUCAUUGUAUCUCAAAACAAAUCAGAUAACACAAUCUGGAUCCUAGCUUUCUGCAUCAAAAAUACAAAAGACCUAUAAACACAAAAACAAUUCCACUUUGGAUGCAAUUGAACACGUCAAGGAGGCAGCUGAAGUUUGUAACUAUGGAUGGUCAAUCUAAAGAGGGCUAAAGUGCAGAUGCUAAAGUGGCAGCACCAAAUGGUUCUGUUGCUCCUAAUGUAGAGACAACAAAGCCUCUUAAGAGCAAAUCGAAGACUCAAAAGCAACACAAAGCAAGCAAAGCAACACAAGCCGUAAACUAAAGCUAAUCGAAGAAUCAAAAGCAACACAAAGCAAAGUAAAGCAAACCCACAAUUAAACAAUGUAACCAUGGUGGAUCAAACCCAAGAACAAGUGAUUGCAACAAGGAUACAAAGAGAAACAACGAGAGAGACAUGGAGCGAGAGAGAGGAAGCGAGAGAGGGAGAGAGAGAGAGAGAGAGAGAGAGAAACACAAACCUACUACACUCCGGCGAUGGAUCCGACGAGUCUCCAGUGAAGAAUCGGCGACGGCGAGAUCACCGGCGAAGAAUCAGCAUCAUUGACGGCUAUGAAUCUCAAUUUUGAGUGUUUUGUGUCGAGGAGAGGGUGAAGAAGAGAUGUGGUUUUUGGAUGUAAUUCCAUAUAUUAGAUUAGGGUAUUAUUGACAUUUUAUAAUUUUGGCUGAAUCAGCUUCAGCAGAAUGAACAAAUCAAACUCAGUCAGAUUUUUUUUAUUUUUUGGAUGAGUUUAGAAAAAAACAUUCAACUGAAUCAUUCAAAUGAUCUAUUUAAACAUGAAAAACAAACAACAAUUUUCAUCUUCAUUGAGAUGGUUCAUCCAAAUGGACAAACAAACAGGACCUUAAUAGAACAACCCAAAAAAGAACUCUUACAAAUUGAUUAAUAAAAUAAU